rnacentral:rRNA from 1 species
UACAGAGGGUGCAAGCGUUGUUCGGAAUUAUUGGGCGUAAAGAGCGUGUAGGCGGUUUGUUAAGUCUUCUGUGAAAUCUACGGGCUUAGCCUGUAACGUGCAGAGGAAACUGACAGGCUUGAGUGUCGGAGAGGAUAGGGGAAUUCCCGGUGUAGAGGUGAAAUUCGUAGAGAUCGGGAGGAACACCAGUGGCGAAGGCGCCUGUCUGGCUGACAACUGACGCUGAGACUCGAAAGCAUGGGGAGCAAACAGG